rnacentral:sRNA from 1 species
GACUUUUUCCUUCAUUGCUUUUUAGGAUGUUUGUAAAAUUCCCAGUGGGAACUUAGAGCUUUGUGGGAGCAGUGGGGAGGUUUUUUGGUUUCAGCACCUUGCUGCAGAGGCUUAGUUAAAGGGAGCAGAGGUGAUACGUGGCAGUCAAGAGGUUUUAAACUUGAACUGUACCCUACCGACAGGAAAAGAGGCAAAUCCUGUGUAGCUGGCUGAAAGCGAAGAAACUAAGGAGCGCCUGUUUGAAUCAAUGCUCAGCGAGUGUCGGGACGCCAUCCAGGUGGUUCGGGAGGAGCUCAAGCCAGAUCAGAAACAGAGAGAUUAUAUCCUUGAAGGAGAGCCAGGGAAGGUGUCUAAUCUUCAAUACUUGCAUAGCUACCUGACUUACAUCAAGCUAUCAACGGCAAUCAAGCGUAAUGAGAACAUGGCCAAAGGUCUGCAGAGGGCUCUGCUGCAGCAGCAGCCAGAGGAUGACAGCAAGCGCUCACCCCGGCCCCAGGACCUGAUCCGACUCUAUGACAUCAUCUUACAGAAUCUGGUGGAAUUGCUCCAGCUUCCUGGUUUAGAGGAAGACAAAGCCUUCCAGAAAGAGAUAGGCCUCAAGAUUCUGGUGUUCAAAGCUUACAGGUGUUUUUUCAUUGCUCAGUCCUAUGUGCUGGUGAAGAAGUGGAGUGAAGCCCUUGUCCUGUAUGACAGAGUCCUGAAAUAUGCAAAUGAAGUACAUUCUGAUGCUGGCGCCUUCAAGAACAGCCUAAAGGACCUGCCUGAUGUGCAAGAGCUCAUCACUCAAGUGCGGUCGGAGAAGUGCUCCCUGCAGGCCGCAGCCAUCCUUGAUGCAAACGACGCUCAUCAAACAGAGACCUCCUCCUCCCAAGUCAAGGACAAUAAGCCUCUGGUUGAACGGUUUGAGACAUUCUGCCUGGACCCUUCGCUUGUCACCAAGCAAGCCAACCUUGUGCACUUCCCACCAGGCUUCCAGCCCAUUCCCUGCAAGCCUUUGUUCUUUGACCUGGCCCUCAACCAUGUGGCUUUCCCACCCCUUGAGGACAAGUUGGAACAGAAGACCAAGAGUGGCCUCACUGGAUACAUCAAGGGCAUCUUUGGAUUCAGGAGCUAACCAGGCUCUUCCUCGGGGGCGGGGGAGAUUCUGACUCUUAAUCUGUAUUGUGAGAAAAUCCCAGCAAGUUCCAUGAUAUUAAAUCCAGGUCUGCAUUGGCCCGGGGCAAGAGUUUAACAUCUUCAGCCCUGCAUUCCUACAUCUUGUGUCUGUACACAUUCUUAAGCAGCGUGUCAGGAGAGCACCCUGUUGUCUUCUGGUAAAUGUGUGCAGGGUCAUCCUGUCUCCUGUACCUCCUGGGAAAGAGGCCGCUGCUGUCUGGUGCCCUGUGAGCUGUGAUUGAUUGCCUUUGGUCAGUAAUGCGUUCAGGAGUCCACACCAGGCACAGAUGGGGCCUUGAAACGCUUUGUCAUGCUUCUUCAGUACCAUGGAUUUGAAAUGAACUCAUCCUUGCUGUGAGCAUCCAGGAGCCCUUGAGAAGUUUAUCUAUGACUAUGAAACUGGCAACGUCACCCCAGAAUUACGGUCAGCCUUAUUCCCCUUCACCUCCCAGUGAACGCUAAGAAGUUUCAGACAAGCAGAGAGCUCUAUUUUUAGAAGAAAUAUGUUACACUCAGAAAUGAUGAAACCAAAUCUUAUAUUAAAAGGCAAAGAUGACGG